AUGUAUUUGCUUUUCAAAAUUUGCUUCUUCAGGAUCCCAGGACAGAAGCAGGAUUUUACGUUGUUUUUGUCUCAUCACCUAGGAUUUUACCUUAUCGCUAAGCUACCUACCUUCUCUCCUCAGAGGCAUCACGAACAUCAGUUUCUUCUAGAAAUAUUUCAUGUCUCUAUGAGCAUAUAUUUAUGUAUAGUCUUUUUCUCUUAAAUAACAGUAACAUACUGUUAUUUGGCCUUUGCAUUUAUUUCUAUCUUAAAUUCAGAAAAAAAAAAUUUAUGAUAAUUAAAAAUAAGCAAAACAGAAUGUUAAUGAAGUUGGUGGGAGGGGAACUGUGCAUGAUUUUCCACAUUUCUGUAUUCCAUGAGUUGAAAUAUAUCCAGGAGAGGCAAUAGUGAAGGGUAUAUUAUGGCUUAUGUAAAACAAGUACUCAAAAUGUUAUAUGAUGAACUAAUGAAUACGUAUGAGAUGACUGGGUAGCCAAGCUAAGAUUUCAUUCGCAGGCUUCUUGCAGAAAUUCCUGGGGAAGAGAACAUGAAUACCCAGGAUAUAAGUUCUGACUGAAACGUGACUCUUCUGUCUUAGGGUUUAGAUCUUUGAAACCUGAAUGGCAAUGGUAGAAGGUGAGGGCAAAAGCAACCUGUCAUUUCAAAGCUGCAAGUGUAUCUGCAUGAGCUGGAGACUCGAACACACCUUCAGCAGAAAGAGUUCUUUAGUUAGGGAAACUACAGGACUGGGGUAGUUGGCUUUAUAAUUACAGAGCUUUGCUCAUAAUUAGAAAAGUGUAUGUUUGACAGCCAUAGCUCUCAGUAGCUAAACUGCUCUACAUCACAUUGUUGGAAGGUGUUUAUGUUCUAGUCAGAGCUGGAUCUCUGAAGACACCAUGCCCUUUAGGUAAUUUCUAAAUUUACUGAUACAGAAAUAGUUACUUACUCUUGUGAAAAUAUUUUGUGUGUACUCAUUUUUUCCAAGUGAAGUUAGUAGCUGAGCUUUGGAAAGGUUGGAGAUGGGAAGAUGACACCCUACCCAGCAUCUUGGAUUGGCUUAGAUGAAUGAUGGAUUUUGUAGGGCUCUGGAUAUAGCAUAUUGCUUCCAGCUCCAAGUGAUAUUGUACAGCCUAAGAGUGGGUGGAGGGCUUUUCAUCUCACCUAUGGCACAGAGCCCAGGAGCUUUCUGGCAUCAAAGGACUACAGACCACAUCUUUGGCAUGGGCAUUCGCAUUCUCACGGUGGGCAUCAUCUGCAGUGGCAGCUAGGGAGUCCUUCAAGAAGCUUUGUAAGCAUAGUUACACAAACUCAUACACAUCAUCAUACAUAUGUGUAGGAUUCUUUAUAUUUUGUAUAAACCAAAGUGUACUAGACAUAACGUUUUGCUCACUUGUACAUUGUUUAUAUUAAAAGAAGGAAUUGUCAGGGUGCCUGAGUGGCUCAGUCAGCUAAGCAUCCGACUUGAUUUCAGCUCAGGUCAUGAUCUCACAGUUUGUGGGAUCGAGCCCCACGUCAGGCUCUGCACUGACAGCAUGGAGCCUGCUUGGGAUUCUCUCUCUUCUCUCUUGGCCCCUCCCCCACUCACCCUCUUUCUCUCUCUCUCAAAAUAAAUUAAAAAACUUAAAAAAAAAGAAGGAAUUGUCAGCCAAAAAAACCCAAGAAUUUGAAAGUUGAUAAUGAUUAAAAAUGUCAGUAACUCAAAUUGUUUGAACAAUUACUUUGUGCUGGGUACUAUGUGCUUUAUGUGUAUUUGCUCAUUAAUCUGUAUAGUUGCUCAGCAGAGGUUCAUAGAUACCUCACAGAGUAAGGAGCUUCCUGGCUGUAGAUGUAUUUAAGCAGAUAUUGGUGACCAUUUGCUUCAAAUGUAAUAGAGAAGGUUCCUCCUUUGGGGGUAAGUCAGAAGAGGUGAUUGCUAGACCCUUUCCAAGUGUCAGUGCUUAGGACUUCACCAGUUAAUGAUUGAAUGCAGGGUGGGGUUAUUUGGAGUGUUCAGUAGUGUUUGCCAAGGACCAAUGAAGACUUGAGUUUCUCUCUUGCCUCUGGGUAAUGAUUGGUGCAGGUUAGAGGUGAUGAGGGCAGUCCCUGCAUGCUGCUCUCAUUGAACUGAAUCCAGUGCAGGGUGGCUCGCUCUGUCUUCUAGACUGAGUGCGUGACCUUGAUUAAAUCAGGUUAUAGAGCAAAUUGGAGGUCUGUAGAGGAGAAGCUGUCUUAUUUUUUCUACGACCUCUGAGGCUUCUUCAAGUAACAGAUACGCAUCCAGACUUUUAUCCUUUACAUCAGCUUCAUCGCUGAGCUACAAGGAUGGCUUAAAAUGGCAAGUUUAGGUCAUCUGACUACUCAAUUGGUGCUUUCUGAAAAACAGUUCUAUCAGAGGAGUAGGCUAUUAAUUGCUUCAUUAAUCCAUCAGUGAUUUCUUUGUCAGGAACCAUCCUAAAUGCUUGAAAAAUAACUUCCUCUUUGGACGGAUAAUCACAUAAAGAAACAGCUGGGUGCUAUGUUAGCGCUGCAAUGGAGGUGGGGGCAGAUGUGGUAACAUCAAGGAGGAAUGACAUUUAGUGACCGAGGUGUCACGGUGGCAGUCAUGCCUCAGCUGGGAUGUGAAGGAUGAAUAGGAUUUCACCAGGCAAAGAAGAGAAAGAAGAUAAUUCUGUUCGGGGAGGUGAUAGCUCUGUGGCUUGAAGCUCUGAGAGAGAAGGGCAUGCUGCCGCCAGGGGGAUGGUCACAGCUUCAGCAACGUGGGGGUGGGGAAGGUGGGGGGUGUUCAUGCUGGAACAGUGUGUGACACUGUGUGCUAGUAGAGUGAGAGGUGAAGCAGUGUAACUGAAAAGCUGGACGUCGAGAAAGAAGGAGCCUACAUAAAAGCCAGGCAGAGAAUUAAAACAAAUCAAAACAAACAAAAAAAUCCCACAUGUUAAAAAAAAUACAUCUUGGCUCAUAAUUUUAUUUUUUACUUUAUAAGUUUUUAUUUAAAUUCCAGUAGUUCACAUAUGGUGAAUAUUAAUUUCAGGUGUACAAUUUAAGUGAUUCAACACUUGCAUACAAUGCCCAGUGCUCAUCACAACGAGUGCACUCUUUAAUCGUCAUCACCGGGGCCGCCUGGGUGGCUCAGUCGGUAAAGCGUCUGACUUUGGCUCAGGACGUGAUCUCAGGGUUCAGGAGUUUGAGCCCUGCAUUGGACUCUGUGCUGGCUCAGAGCCUGGAACCUGCUUUCGAUUCUGUGUCUCCCUCUGUCACUGCACCUCCCCUACUCAUGCCUUCUCUCUCUCUCUCUCAAAAAUUCAUUAAAUUCUCUCUCAUUCUCAAAAAAAACAUUUAAAAAAAUUAAUUGUCAUCACCUAUUUUACGCAUAUCCUCACCCACCUCCCCUCUGGCAACCAUUAGUUUGUUCUCGAUAGUUAACAGUCUGUUUCUUGAGGGGCGCCUGGGUGGCUCAGUUGGUUUCAUCUGACUCUUGAUUUUGGCUCAGGUCAUGAUCUCACAGUUGGUGGGUUCGAGCCCUACAUCAGGCUCUGCACUGACAGUGCGGUGCAGAACCUACGUGGGGUUCUCUCUCCCUCUCUCUCUGUUCCUCCCUCCCUGCCCCCCCUCCCCGCCCUUGUGCUCUCUCUCUCAAAACAAAUAAACUUUUUUUUUUAAAGAGUCUGUUUCUCAGUUUGACCCAUAAUUUUAAAUGAUAGACCUGGGUUAUUGACUUUAGGCAUUCCCAGGGGUAAGUAAAGAUGGGCCGCAACAGUUGCCUAGAAAAUUGACGUUUGAAAAAAUUGUUUUAAUGUUUAUUUAUUUUUGAGAGAGAGAGAGACAGACAGACAGACAGAGUGUGAGCUGGGGAGGGGCAGAGAGAGAGGGAGACACAGAAUCCGAAGUAGGCUCCAAGCUCUGAGUUGUCAGCACAGAGCCCAAUGCAGGGUUUGAACUCACGAACCGUGAGACCACGACCUGAGCUAAAUUCUGACACUUAACUGAGCCACCCAGGCACCCCAAAAGUUGACAGUUUUGUGUGAACAAGUUAGGAGCCCAGCUCAGAAUGUGAACUGGAACCCCCAGACAUCUGAAACAGCAAGCAAUUUUUGCACCUGCAAACCAAAUUUCAGUCUUCACAUACAGGCAAUGAAAAGGAGAUUUUUUAUAUAUUUAUUUAUUUAUUUUUGUUAGCCACAUCCGCACACACAAGAUAGUGAUUUCCAUCUGUGGUGUUACUUUAAAUGAAAAUGGAGCUUCCUGCUCAGAGCUCAGAGGUGUGCUUUUGGUGAGCAUCAUCUGCCAUGCUCUGUGACAUCUCACUCACAGAGACUAACCCAAGCUCUGUCAGUGUCUGUGAGUGGUCCAAGCAUUUCAUUCCCAUGCCAGAUGGUGAGCACCUUCAGGAGAAGGAUCACGCCUUAGGGUUCUCUGUAGCUUGAAUACAUUUGCCUUACAUGUCAACUGAAUGGCUGAAUGAAUUCUAUUCACAGGCCGUCCCGGAGAACCUAUGAAUAGUCUGAUCUUCGGUUUUGCCACUGACCAGAACCACCCUCCUUGUCCAGGCUGACAUUGACAGGCCCUAAUUUUGCCUCUGUGACCUGUUUUUUUUUUAAUGUUUAUUUAUUUUUGAGAGAGAGACAGAACACAAGCAGGGAGGGACAGAGAGAGAGAGAGAGGGGGAGACACAGAAUCCGAAGCAGGCUCCAAGCUCUGAGCUGUCAGCACAGAGCCCAAUGCAGGGCUCAAACCCACAAACCACGAGAUCAUGACCUAAGCUGAAGUCAGAUGCUUAACUGACUCAACCACCUCUGUGGCCCAUCAAAAAAAAAAAAAAAUUCACCUAGAGACUAGUGUUCAAAGUUCCCUUGUUUCAAGCCAUGGAACAGUAGUCAUUUGAUUAAAAAGCCAGUGGUUAAUUAAAGUGCUAAAGACUUUCUUUGGGAGGGCUCAUCUCCUUUGUAGACCUCUGUAGGGUCCUCCUAUCUCUUUCCUGAAGAGCACCCUUUACCUCACCCUUCUCUAGUAGAAUCUGCAAACUUUGCAUCCCAUCUAAUUUUACCCAUCUCUUUGUCCAUUCUCUUAGGGUCUUGCUCUCUGAAGUUGGCUAAUGGCUAAAGUCAUCUGUGCCCAGCGCUAGAGUCUGGAAGUUCCACUUGAAUUUUGAUAGGGACUUGGCGGAAACAGGGAAUUGACUCAAAAGAAAGAGAGAACAUUCUGGGACUUUUGACCUUUCUCAGAUCAAGUACCCAUCCGGACCUGGAUUCAGAGGCAGCUCAGAGUAACUCAAACUCUCUUUAGGUGCCUCAAGUGAGAAAUAGCCAGAUGCACAAUGCCUGUCAUGAAGAGGGAGCUCAGCAAGUAACAACUCCGUCUGGACACCUUUUCCCCCACAGCCGAAGGAAAAGCGAAGUAGAUUUGGGAAGCUACAAUCAAGGUCAUUCGGGAAGUAGGACUCAGUGUAUUAGCAUUACCUAUGGGUGUCCACAUAGAGAUGUAUAGACACAGGAAAGGCUAGAUAAUGAGAAUGCCCCGUAAAGAGGCACCACGUUUCACCAAGGAGAAAUGCAUCCAAGUUACCUCACAAAUGUUAAGAAAUAUGCCUACUUAAUUGUAUGGUGCAUUUUCCAUGGUCUUGGCUUUAUUCAUUUCAUGUGCAUUUUGAUUAAAAAUUUUGCAUUUUAUUAUCUCUUAUGUUUUUCAAUAAAUACAAACCAGGACUGCUUUUUUUUUUCCCUCUUUUUUUUCAUUCUUCUCAGAGGUGUGGUGAGCAUCGAGUAAGAUAAUAAUUUUGCAAUGCUUAUGUCUUGUCCAUUUGGGCUGCUGUAGCAAAAUGCCACACACUGAGUAGCUUAUGGAUAACGGAAACUCAUGUCUCACAGUUCUAGAGGAUGGCAGUCCAAAAUCACGGUGCCAGCGUGUCGGGUGAGGGUUCGCUUUCAGGUUAUAACUUCUUAUAUCCUCUAGUGGCAGAAGGGGCUCCUGGAGCCUUUGUUAUAAGGCACUAAUCACCUUCCAAAGGCUCUACCUCCUAAUACCAUCACCUUUGGGGGUAAGAAUUCGACAUAUGAAUUUUGGGAGGACACACUCUGUGAUACUGUGAUUUAUAAGAAAUACAUAGUUGGCUGUUUAGAUGCCCAAAAUGUACAGUAGUUCCCCCUUUCUGCAGUUUCGCUUUCUGCAGUUCAUUACCUGAGGUCAACCUCGGUCCAGAAGCAGGUGAUCCCCCUUCUGACGUUAUCAGAAGGUCAACGGGAGCCUAAGGCUACAUCACAAUGCCUACAUCCUUCACCUCACCUCAUCAUGUAGGCAUUUUAUCAUCUCACAUCAUCCCAAGAAUAAGGAUUUUCUUUCUGGAUCAUUUUCCCCUUUCUUGAAACACACCCUUUAAUCAGAAACUGGUAGAGAACGAUGCUCAGUAUUAUGCUUGCUUGAAAGUGUCUAUUUCAUCCUCCUUCUGUCAUGUGAGGAAACCCUGCGAAGUGGGCGGUCUGCAACCUAGAAGAGGACCCUUACCAGCUCUCAAUCAUGCUGGCACCCUGUUCUUGGACUUCCAGUCUCCAGAAGUAUGAGAAAUUUAUUUCUCUUCUGUUGUUUAUAUAAGUUACCCCACCUAUGGUAGUUUGUUAUAUUAGCCUGAAUGGGCUAAGUCAACACUUGAUCCAUUUGUCAAAAAAAUGAAUGAUGAAAAUUCAGGAUGGAUGAAGAGGGACUUUCAUAUUUUAUCAUUUGUUCCUUCUAAGAACUCUCAUUCUGGCACAGGGGGAGACAAAUAUUGAUCUGAUUUGCAAUGAAACCUCUUGCUUGAUGAUGGCACUACUUUGGUGUUUCAGUGCCUUUCCACUGCAACCUGCCCUUAGGCUAACAUACAGCUCCCUCCUUGUCGACUAACCAGAGGCAGAGGUAAGCAAGAAAAGUGUGUGAUAUCAGCAGCACUGACUUCCAUGCCAAAGUCCUCAUUAACCUUUAAACCUCUGGUGACCUCUAGGUGGUGUCCCAAUGGAACAAUUGAGUCAUUCACUGAAUCACACUGAUAAUGGUCACAACAUCUACUUGAUAGCUCAUCAGUGCUCAAACAUUACAGAAUUUCCUCUUUAUUUCUUUAUGGUUAUACAUGUCAACAGAAGUUCAAGGCAAGGGGUAGCCCAGGGAAAUUUCCUGGGAGUUCUAGUCUCUUCUCCUCCUGUAUGUGGUCAGCCCUCCUCUCAACAUCAUGGCAUAAUAGUUGUAUUAGCAGAUCUCUUCUAUGGUACAAGUUCAAACCAGUAAAAUCGAGCUGUGAGCUGAAGCUUGCGGUCUAAAAGAUGUUUAUGUUUAUCAAACACCUUUAUGGUUGGUAGGCUUAUUGACAUAGUCUCAUGAAAGCCUCAUUUCAGUGGCUUGUCUAAUCACUAGUGUCAUUAUCCAGGUAGGAAGUGGCGCAGUUAGAGUUCCUAUUCAGAUCCUCCAACUUCAGUACUAACCAUUUUUCCACUUCAACACAGGCCUGGGGGCUUUUUUUCCCUGAUUUUUGGUGAUGUUACAGCUACUGGGGGAGACAGUCAUAGAUCUUGACUUCAUAGAUAGCAUAGGGUAGACACAGCCAUUGACACGGGUCACCUUCCUUUCCCUUUCAUGUCACUAUGAAUGUCACAUUUCAAAUGCUGCUGCUCUGAUUUCUUCAUCUGACCUUCAGUUUUCUGAUGGAUAGUUUGCUAUUCUGUAUUAAUUUUAGUGGGUUCAAGUCCAUCAGGUUGACAAGUCCAUUUUGACCCUAAGAAAGGAUUCUGGAAACCUGGGGAUUUUACAGGCAGCUGGUACAGACCUAUUGUGUGAUUCUAGAGAAGUUUCUUAAUUCAAAUAUUUGGAGUCACUUUUCUUAUUUACAUGAAAAAGGUAGCCUAGAUCAAUGAUUUUUUAAUGCCCCAUUUUUAAUCACAAGAAUCCUUUUUCUGGGCACCAAAUGAAAUCUGACAUGAGCCUUAGUAUAUCCCACAAACAGAAUUAGUUUACUCUGGUUGAAGCAGGGAUGGAGCCCAGCGCAUUGCCUUGUUAACUUUCCUGUUUCAGCUAUUGUGGCUCUUGAGACACUGAUCCAAGUAGAUGAUUGCUAAAUUACUAUUAUUAGUUGCUACAGGGCUUUUUAAACUGUUUACCAAAUGCCUAAUGCUGGGGGAUUCUGAACUAUUUCACAUUUGCUGGACUUACACUGUAGCUGGAUGCCUGGGUUUGAAUCCCUAUCCUAUUUCCUUAUUAUCCAAGCUGUCUUUGGCAAAUCAAUUAAUCUUUAUGCCUCUGUUUCUGUGUCUUUAAAAUAAGGAUAAUAAUAGUAACUACCUUAGGGGCACCUGAACGUCUAACUUCAGCUCAGGUCAUGGUCUCGCCGUUCCCAAGUUUGAGCCCUGUGUCGGGCUCUGUACUGAUAGCUCAAAGCCUGAAGCCUGUUUCAGAUUCUGUGUCUCCCUCUCUGUCUACCCCUCCCUGCACUCGGUCUCUCUCUGUCUCUUAAAAAUAAAUAAACAUUAAAAAAUUUUAAAAAAUAAUAGUACCCGCCUUGUAGGUUUAUUGUGAAGACUAAAAUAGUUCAUGUAUGGGAAGCAUUUAGAAUAGUGGCUGGUACUAUAGAAAUAGUAGCUAUUACUCCUAUCAUCUUGAUGAUCUAGCAGGACUAUGUAGGGAGUGGAAGCUUAAUAGUGACCAGCUGGCUUCUGGAGAAUACAGACCUGGAAGACCUUUUAGAUGUCAUGAGUUCCAGUGUCUCCUAAAUUGAUGUUUAUAGAGGCUUUCCUGGGUCAUUUGUUAAAAUGCAGAUCCUUGGACCUUACUGCUAGACUUACUCAGCCAGCAUCUCCAAGGAAGCAAUAUGGAAAUCUGGACUUAUAACAAGUGUUCGAUAAGAUAUUUAUGAAUAGGCACACUUGCCUAUUACAUGUAUUGCAAAAUACAUGGUGUCCAAUUGUUGUAUUUCACAGAUGGGAAAGCUGAGUGCAUGGAAGGAGAGAUGGCUCACUCAAGGCCAGAGUUAGUGGUGAAAAUGGUACUAGAACCCAGUUCGUGGUCCCCAGCUCAGUGCUACUGUCACUCAUCUCUUUGCUCUGUGAUGGCUCUGCCAUUUCUGUCCAGGUGUCUGAGAUUCGCUCUACAGAAGGAACAUUUCUCAGGACAACUUUACCAAAGCAGCAUUUGGCUGUGAGCACAGUUUUACCUGCCGAAAGGGUAUGUGAGUUUGCUUCUUUAGGCAGAUUUGAGUGCCCAUGUUUAUUCUUGACUUUGUGCUUCCAGGAUAAUGAUCUCUGGGACCCCACGUGUCUUGAAUGAUCUCAAAGUCUGGGAAUAGUCCUCGCUGUCCAGUUUGUGGAGGAACGAGCAAUACAUUUCAAAGUGCAAGUCAGUGCCAAGUGGGUCCCGGAGUGGGCAGAUAGAUAACAUGAAAAUGCCGAAGUGCUGACACACUUAACCAGUGUGCACCAUGUGAACCACUUUGGAGCCUGAGGACAGAAACCAAAAAUAUGCUUCUGUUCAGAGGCAGCCAGUUAUUACUAGUGCCGUUAUUGUUAUUAUCAUCAUCACUGCCACCAUUCUUUUUCUCAUAAACUUACAGGUGGGUGGUUGGGUGCUGUCUCUGGGAGCAGUCCUGCGGGGAGUAAAAGCUACGAUGAAUGUAGACAAGUAAGUGUGGGAGCAUGCUAGCCCGGUAACUCUGCAUCUCCAGCUCAGACCACACUCUCAGCAACCCUGCCCACCAGCUUUGUUAUCACUGUGAAGUCAAUUUUCCACACCCAGGACUUGUUCUAACAGUAAAGAACAUAGAGAAAUGCAUAAAGUAAACUGAUCCUGCAGGGGAAUUCUUACCCUCUCCAGGGUAAGGGAGGAGAACAAAGGCUGGGGAAACCUGGACAAGGAAAGAGCAGCCCUUUAUUCCUGGAGAGUAGGUGGAGACCUUGAAAUUGAAGAGAUGUAGAGAUCGGAAGAUAAGAUGUAAUUGGAGUCCAGGUCCUCAGGGGAAGUGCCAAUUUAAACUCUGUGGGUGGGAUUGGACCUUACUUUCAGGUAGAAGAGGAAAUUCAAUUGAGUGCCUUAAAAAAAAAAGAACAAAACUAUUUAUGUGUCCACUCUUACUCAGCCUUGUGUUGCUGCUGCAGAUAACAAAUCUCACUCUUCUCUGUAACAUAGAAAAUGCUGGAGCCUGAUGGAAAUUCGUGAUUUUUUUUUUUUUUUGAAGGCCAAAUUCUUGUCUCUAAUCUGAAUUUUAUAGAUACAGCCUGAGUUUGAGCUAAGGAGUGUAGGGGAGAUUCCCAAGGUGUAAAAUAGGGGAGAUUUCAUUUGUCCUCCUAGCUAGUCCCGUUCUCCAGCCAAAAACUCAUUUUAAGCUUCUUAACAGUUUACUUUAUUUCUUCAAUUGAGUAAAUAUUUGGCAUGGCCUAAGUUAGAGAAGAGAAAUGAAACAUAGGACGUACAAUUGCAUGGUUUUUCCUAAACAGUCCUGGACUAAGCAACAUUUCCCCACAUCUACAGUGCAAUUAAUACUAAUGUUCAUGUUGAUGACCAUAAGGCACUAAAAGUUUCCAGAAUAUUUUCUUGUUCCUUCAGCAGUUUCAGAUUAUGCUCAUUCAAGCUUUAUUGUGGAUUAAUAAAUAUUUAGAAAUAAGUUGAAAAUCAGAGAUUCCACGGUAGUCACCUCAUUUUUCAGAAAAAGAAAUGGAAAGGUAGAAUAAUUGACUUGCCUAAAGUCACUCAGACUGGUGAGGAGCAGAACUAAGAUUACAAUUUAGGUCUUUUGAUUCAUUUAUGUCUUCUAAUCUUUUAAAAUUCAUUCAGUUCAUAGUAUGGUGUUUCCUCUCUGGCAGGUUAAAUUUGUGUUCUAGAAUGUGCUCAGUACUAAACUGUUUAAUAUGCUUGUGUGUGAGAAGAGAGAGACAGCAAAAAUUAUAAGAUAUGGGACUUGUCCAAGUGCUUAUAACCCAGUCGAGGAUAUGAGACCUAUACAGGUCUACCUGCAGUAACGACUUGUAAAAUUCCAUGGUGUUUCCCAAACUUUUAUGUGCAUGAGUAUCACUGGGAAUUUUGUUAAAAUGCAGAUUCUGAUUCAGUAGGUCUGGUAUAAGACCUGAAAGUCUGUAUUUCUUAAAUUUUUAUUUUUUUAGUGUUUUUAUUUAUUUUUGAGACAGAGAGAGACAGAGCGUGAGCAGGGGAGGGGCAGAGAGAGGGGGAGACACAGAAUCCAAAGCAGGCUCCAGGCUCUGGGCUGUCAGCACAGAGCCGGAUGCAGGGCUCGAACUCACAGUCGGCGAGAUUGUGACCUGAGCCGAAGUCGGACACUUAACCGCCUGAGCCACCCAGGCGCCCCUGAAAGUCUGUAUUUCUAACAAAGUUUCAGGUGAAGCAUUUGCUGUCAGAAGAGACAUACUUUGAAUAAUGAAGCAAGGCAGCAGAUAAUUAAGGGGCAAAUUAUGUAGUGUAAUUAUAAGAUAUGAAGGAAUUGAGAGUAAUGAAGGGUAAUCAGGGAAAGUUUCAUGGAACACAUGGAAUUUGAACUCAUCUUGAAUAAUGGUCUGACUGAGUUGGUGAAGGUGUUGGGUGAAGGGAUAAGGUGAGUAAAGCAUAAAGGUACCAGGCAGGAAGGCGCAAACUGUGCCUGGAAGAUGGGAGCAAACUUGCCCAUUGGGAUCAAAUGGUGUAAGAUGCUAUGGCAGGCAGCCUCUGGGAUGCCCCCAUCUGACUCUUCCUGGGAUUUGUGCCCUUGUGUAUGCCCUGGGGCUAGUGACUCCUUUCUGAGGAACAGAACUUAGCAAAAGCAAUAGGAUGCCAUUUCCAAGAUUAGGUGAUUAAGGAGACUGACUUUUGUCCUGCUCCCUCUGAUGCAUCAUCACUUUGUCUAAAGGAGUGAUGGACUGUCCAAUAGAGAGGCCUGUGUAGCAAGGAGCUGGUGGGGUGUUUCCAGUCAACAGCCACCGAGGAUCCAAGGCACGACAAGAGCCAUGUGAGUGAGGGAAGUCACUCCUGAGUCAGACCUUGAGAUGACUGCAGCCUUGGCAGACAAUUAGAGGCUGAGCCAGAGGACCCAGCUAAGCCAUUCCCAGAUUCCUGAUCCACAGAAACUAUACAAUAAUUAACGUUUGUUGUUUUAAGUUGCUACAUUUGGGAGUAGUUUGUUACAGAGCCAUAUAACUAAUACAGUUGGAAAUAAUUUGGAAGGAGAAUGAGGUCAUGUGACAUGUGAUUUUGGAGCAGGGAAGGGCUUGAAAGACUGGCAUAAUUUGGACAUGAUCUUAAAGCUGUGGUUAAGUUCUAAGUCCUCUCUCUCUCUCUCUCUCUCUCUCUCUCUCUCUCUCUCUCACACACACACACACACACACACACACACACAGCUUUAUGGAGAUAUAAUUCAUAUAUCAAAUAAUUCACACACUCAUUUUUUUUUUUUAGUAUAUUCGCAGAGUUGUGAAACUCACUAUAAUCCAUUUUUGGAUAUUGUCAUCAUCCCUCAAACAAACCCAGUACCUAUCAGCCAUCAUACCCCAUUUACCCCCAAAGCUCCCAGCCCAAAGUAACCAUUAACCUAUUUUCUGCCUCUAUGGAUUUUUCUAUUCUGGAAAUUUCAGAUGAAUAGAAUAAUAUAUGACCUUUUUUCUGCAUGUGGCUUCUUGUACUUAGCAUAAUAUUUCUAAGGUUUAUCUGUGUUGUAGCUUAUAUCCGUAUAUUGUGACUUUUUAGGCCAAACAAUAUCACAUCCUAUGUAUUUAUCCCAUUUUGCGUAUUCCUUGAUCAGUUCAUGGAUGUUUGGGUUAUUUCUUUCUUUCUUUCUUUCUUUUUUUUUAAUUUACAUCCAAAUUAGUUAGCAUAUAGUGCAACAAUGAUUUCAGGAGUGGAUUCCUUAGUGCCCCUUACCCAUUUAGCCCAUCCCCCACUCCUACAACCCCUCCAGUAACCCUCAGUUUUUUCUCCAUAUUUAUGAGACUCUUCUGUUUUGUCCUCCUCCCUGUUUUUAUAUUCUUUUUGUUUCCCUUCCCUUAUGUUCAUCUGUUUUGUCUCUUAAAGUCCUCAUGAGUGAAGUCAUAUGAUGUUCGUCUUUCUCUGACUAAUUUCACUUAGCAUAAUACCCUCCAGUUCCAUCCACGUAGUUGCAAAUGGCAAGAUUUCACUCUUUUUGAUUGCCGAGUAAUCCUCCAUUGUAUAUAUAUACCACAUCUUCUUUAUCCAUUCAUCCAUCGAUGGACAUUUGGGCUCUUGCCAUACUUUGGCUGUCGUUGAUAGUGCUGCUAUAAACAUGGAGGUGCAUGUGUCCCUUCAAAACAGCACACCUGUAUCCCUUGGAUAAAUGCUUAGUAGUGCAAUUGCUGGGUCUUAGGGUAGUUCUAUUUUUAGUUUUUUGAGGAACCUCUAUACUGUUUUCCAGAGUGGCUGCACCAGCUUGCAUUCCCAUGUUUGGGUUAUUUCUACCUUUUGGCUGUUAGAAUUAAUGUUGUUAUGAACUUUCUUCUGUGAGAUUUUGUGUGGCUUGUGUUUUCAUCUCUCUAGGGUAUAUGAUGAUUAGUAGAAUUCCUGGGUCAUAUCAUAACUCUAUGUAUAACAUUUUGAGAGACUGUCAACUGUUUUCCAAAGCAACUGCACCAUUUUACAUUUUUACUAGUAAGUAUGAGGGUCCAAUUUUUCCUCUUGUUGUCUGUCUUUUUAAUUAUACCUUAUCGUUGUGGGUGUGAGGUGGUAUGUCUUUGUGAUUUUGAUAUCUCUGACUAACAAUGUCUGGCAUCUUUUCAAGUGCAUGUUUUCCAUUUGUAUGUCCUCCUUGGAAAAAUAUCUAUUUAAAUCCUUUGUCCAUUUGUAAAUUGGACUAUUUGUCUUUUUAUUAGUAGUAGGUUUUUUAUAUACUCUAGAUACAAGUCUUUUGUCAGAUCUGAGUUGCAAAAAUAUGCUCCCAUUCUGUGGACUGUCUUUUGAAGAUGUCCUUCAGAGUACAACUUGGUUUUAAUUUAGAUGAAGUCUGAUUUAUCUAUUUUUACUUCAGUCACUUAUGCUUUGGAGUUGUAUCUAAGAAAACUUUGUCUUGCCCAUGGUCACUAAGAUUUAAUCCUAUGUUUUCUUCUAGGACCUCUGUAGUUUUAGUUCUUAUGUUUAGGUUUACUAUCCAUUUAGAGCUAAUUUUUGUGUCUUUCUGUCCCUCCCCCACUUACACUCUGUCUCUCUCUCAAAAAUAAAUAAUAAAACCAUUAACAACAACAAAAAAUUUUUUUAAAUCUUUAGGAGAAUUCACUAGUGAAACCAGCUGUGUCUGGGAUUUUCUUUGUGGGAAGUUUUAGAAUUAUUAAUGCUAUUUCUUUACUUUCUAGAGCUCUAUCGAGAAUUUCUGUUUUUUAUUUUGGGUUGGUUUUCAUAGUUUGUGUCUUUUUUCAAAAAUAUUUUUAAUGUCUAUUUAUUUUUGAGAGAGAGAGAGCAGAAGCAGAGGAUGGGCAGAGAGAGAGGGAGACACAGAACCCGAAGCAGCUCCAGGCUCUAAGCUGUCAGCAUAGAGCCUGAUUUGGGGCUGGAACCCACAGACUGUGAGAUCAUGACUUGAGCCAAAGUCAGGCGCUUAACAGUCUGAGCUACCCAAGCGCCCCAGUGUAGUUUGUGUCUUUCCAAGAGUUUCUCCAUUUAAUCUAAGCUAUCUAAUUUGUUGGCAUGGGUUUACAAUAUUCUUUUAUAAUCCCUUUGAAUUUUGUGAGGUCAGUAUUGAUGUCUCCUUUCUCAUUUCUGAUUUUAGUAAUUUGAAUCCUCUCUCAUUUUUUCUUGGUUAAUAUAGCUAAAAGUUUGUCAAUAUUGUUUAUCUUCUCAAACGACCAACUUUGGUUUUAUUAAUUUUUCCUUUUUUUAUUCCCUAUUUCAAUAGUUUCCAGUCUAACACUUAUCAUUUCAUUUCCUUUUGCAUGCUUUGGCUUAACUUAAUUUCCUUUUUCAGUAUCUUAAGGUGAAGGUUAAGUUACUACUUUGAGAUUUUUUUUUCAAAUAUAGGCAUUUUCAACUAUUUUCCUCUAAGCAUUGCUUCAUUUGCAUAUCGUAAGUUUAAUGUAUUGUGCUUUUAUUUUCAUUCAUCUCAAGGAUUUUUAAAUUUCUCUCGUUAUUUCUUCUUUGACCCACUGGCUGUUUAGGAAGGCGUUAUUUAAUUUGUACAUAUUUGCAAAUCUUCUAAAUAUCUUUCUGUUAUUGAUUUCUAAUUUCAUUCCAUUAUGGUUAGCAGACACACUUGUAUGAUUUCAAUCUUUUUAAAUUUAUUGAGGCUUGUUUUCUCAUCUAGCAUAUGUGGUGGAUCUUGGAGAAAUUUUCAUGUGUGCUUGGGAAGAAUGUGUAUCUACAGCUGUUGGUUAGAGCAUUUUAUAGAUGUGUGUUAAAUCUACUUUUGUAGUGUUGUUCAAUUCUCUGUUUUCUUUUUGAUCUUCUCUCUAGUUGUUCUAUUCUUUUAGAAAGAAAUAACAAUUACUGUUGUUGAAUCAUUUGUUCCCCCCUUCAAUUCUGUCACUUUUUGCUUUAUGUAUUUUGGGGGUUUAGUUGUUAAAUGUGUAUGUUUAUAAUUGUUAUAUUUCUGGUGGGUUGGCCAUUUUAUCAUUAUGAAAUAUCUAUCUCUGUGUCUAGUAACUUUUGCGUUGCUGUUUUGCCUGAUAUUAGUAUAUCUACUCAAGCUUUCUUGUGGUUGUUGUUUGCAUCACAUUUUUUCCUAUCCUUUUACUUUCAAUUUUUUAUAUAUUUGAAUAUGCAGAGCAAAUAGGUGGAUCUUGUAUUUUAUCCAGUCUGACAAUCUCUGACUUCCAUUGAAUUGUUUAACUCAUUUACAUUUUAUACUAUUAUUGGUAUAGUUGGAUUUAUAUUUGCUAUUUUACUUUUUGUUUUUUAUAUAUUUCCUCUAUUUUAUGUUUCUCCUUUGCUGCUUUCUUUUACAUUAAAUUAAUAGUUUCUAGUGUAAAAUUUUAAUUCCUUUAAUGAAUUUUUUUCACUAUUUUUAAGUUAUUUUCUGAUAAAAUAGAGAAGUUCCUUGUGUGUGGGAAAAUAGAAUUAUUGGGUGAGAUUGCCAGUAUAUGUAUAUUUAAGUUUAUUUAUUUUGAUAUCUACCUAUCUAUCUGUCUAUAUAUAGAGAGAGCGAGUAGGGAUGGGCAGAGAGAGAAGGAGAGAAGGAAUUCCCAGCAGGCUCCAUGCGAUUAGCAUAGAGCCUGACGUGGGGCUCGAUCUCACAAACCAUGAGAUCAUGACCUAAGGCGAAAUCAAGAGUUGGAUGCUUAACUGACUUAGCCACUCAGGCACCCCAGUUUACCAAUAUUUAUUAAACAUCAAGUGCAGGAAACCAUAUGUGUAUAUGUGGAGGGAGACAGAGAGACAGAGAGGAGGCAGAUGUAUUUUUCAUAUUUUUGAAUCUUGUAGAAAUAUUGAGGGGAGAAUUGUGCAAGGUUGAGGGAAGAGGUGUUGGAAGACCAUGAAGAUACUUCUAGCAAUAAUUUCUAAUUUUAUAUCAUAGCAAGUAGAAAGUCUUCUAGUAAGCUGCCAUCUAUCCAAGAGGGUAGCUUACAGAUACCAGGUAAUAAUCGGGUUGGUAAUUAAACAAAAAAAAUUUUUGUGUGCCUUGAACUUUCAAACUUUCCUUUUCACCUUGAGUAAGAUUGAUUUUGUCACAAGGUCACUCUCAUUUGAAUACAGAAGUGUUUCCAUAAUUGGAUCUGAUAUUGAUCUACCAGUAGCUGCUUAAUUUAAACAAGGUGUUUUCCCCAUAUGGAGACCAUCUUAUCAUGAUUACUUCCCACAUUUUUCCUCAGGGAAAGAUUCUAUAUUUAUGUUAAUUGUUUCAAAGUGGUCACAAGGUAAUUGCUGUUUAUAGUUAUUUGCCCUUCACUUUAAGUUUUUCAAAAACAAAUCUUGGCACAGUCUCACAAAUAAAACCCUGUUUAUCAGAUUUCUGCAGCUGCUAAGCUUUGGAUCUGUGAAUUCUACCAUCAGACACAUUCAGAGGGACUAUUGAGGGUGGUUAAGAAGUUUUAUGCUUGAAAGGAAGCUUAUUGCUUAAAGUACCUCAUAGUUGAUGGUGUAUCAUUCAUAUGAAUUUUAAAAUUUGGCUUCUAUAGCUAUUUCCUCUUCUAUAUACUCUGUUCUGCCCUCCCUACCCCAAGCCAACUAUUUUAAAUUCAGAUUUUAUCUUUGAUGAAAUUCUCUAUUAAGUUUAAGACUAUUUUGUUUUUAUAGAAGCAAGUAACUUAAAGAAAAUUAAGCUAUUUUGAUUUUGAAACCCCAGACUUCAAUAAUGGCAGUGAAAAGCCUUUGAAAGUAUUACUCGUUGCUGCUUAAAUCAUCUCUGGGAAGUGAGUCAAUGUUUAUUAUUUUCUGUUGGAUGUCAUUAGGUAGGGACAAUCAUAAAGAGUCAAA